GUGCUUGCUUUGGCGUCACAUAUAGUAAAAUUGGAACAAUACAGAGAAGAUGAACAUGGCUCCUGCUCAAGGAU
rnacentral:snRNA from 1 species